GGAUAGACUCUUGUUGAUCCUUUAUCAUCUUGUGGACAAGGCCACGUGCACGCCAAUAAAAGGCAUGCCUUAAAAAAGACGCAGUGUCUUUCGCCAUGCAAAAUCAGCUUAAUAGUUAUUCCAUUUUCCUAUCAUCUCAAAACCAUGACGAUCAACCCUAAUACCAACCUAACUUCCUCCGAAUACGAUGAUAAAUUUACCGGAAUCUUUGUUUCUCGGUGGCUGUUUUUCUUACAUCUUCAUAUCGUAGAGCUUAUCCUUGCCCUUAUCGUCUUCAUUGCUAUACAUUACUUGAGGCAGAAACGACGUUAUGGGCUCCCCGUAUGGCCAGUUCUAGGCAUGCUACCGACUUUGAUAUCCGGUCUCCGGUCCGAUCUUUUUGAGCUGAUUUCCCACAUAGUUUGCCAGCAGAAUGGAACUUUUUUGUUUAUAGGUCCAUGGUUUAGUAGCCUAAGUUUCGUGGUCACUGCCGAUCCUAGGAAUCUUGAGCAUGUUCUCAAGACCAAGUUCUCCGUUUACCCCAAAGGACCAUCUUUUCGCGAAAAUGUUGGCGACCUCCUCGGCGAUGGGAUAUUCAGUGCCGACGACGAAACUUGGUGACUUCAGAGGAAAGCGGCGAGCAUCGAGUUUCACUCGGCUAAGUUCCGGCGGUUAACCACCGAGUCAUUGGCGGAGCUCGUCCACGCUAGGCUGUUACCUAUCUUAGAAAAUGCCACAAACAAAUCGAUCCCCAUAGAACUCCAAGAUAUCCUAUUGAGAUUAACGUUCGAUAACGUUUGCAUUAUAGCCCUUGGGGUCGACCCUGGGUGCUUAAUCCCCCAGUUGCCCAACAUACCGUUCGCUAAAGCGUUCGAGGACGCGACGGAGGUGACGGCGCUCCGGCUUGUGACCCCAACAUGGGUGUGGAAAACCAUGAAGUGCCUUGAUUUGGGGUCGGAAAAGAAGCUGAAAAAGUUGAUAAAGGACGUCGAUGAAUUCGCCAAGAAAGUUAUCGAAACGAGGAAGAAGGAGCUGUCAGAGUCAGCACGGCAAAGAUCAGAUUUGUUGACGGUGUUUAUGACGUCAAAAGACGAGGAAGGGAAGCCAUUUUCCGACAAGUUUUUGCGAGAUAUCUGCGUGAACUUCAUACUGGCCGGCAGAGAUACUUCAGCGGUGGCGUUGAGCUGGUUUUUUUGGUUGGUAGGAAAGAACCCGAGGGUGGAAGAAAAAAUUGUAGCAGAGAUUAGCGGAAUUGUUGAGGAAAGGGAAGAGAUAAAAAAUGGCGAAUUGGUAUUUAAAGCGGAGGAGAUAAAGAAGAUGGAUUACUUACAAGCUGCAUUAUCAGAGGCCCUCAGAUUGUAUCCUUCUGUACCUCUUGAUCUCAAGGAGGCUGUUGAAGACAACGUAUUACCCGAUGGAACAGUGACAAAGACAGGAACGAAAGUAGUAUAUGCAAUCUACGCAAUGGGAAGAAUAGAAUCCAUUUGGGGAAAAGAUUGCAAAGAAUAUAAACCAGAGAGAUGGCUAAGAGAUGGCAAUUACAUGAGCGAGUCAGCUUACAAGUUCUCCGCCUUCAAUGGCGGUCCUCGCCUCUGUUUAGGCAAAGAUUUCGCUUUUUACCAGAUGAAGUUCACCGCCGCCUCCAUCCUAUACCGCUACACCGUGAAGGUGGUGAAAGGUCAUCUUGUUGCACCUAAAAUUGCAUUGACAUUGUACAUGAAGUAUGGGCUUAUGGUGAACCUCAUCAACCGCCACGAAUCGGGGCUCUACGAGUACCUCAAAUGAAAGAGAUACCCUUCAAUGUUGGAUUUGAUUUUCUUUUAUUGAAGGUUUAUUUACAAAAGUAACCCCAAAACUAAAUUGCUUUUUUUACUUAUAUUCUUAAAUUUUUUUUUGUCAAAAUAAAAUAUCUAAACUAUCAAUUUCUUCUUGUUUUAUUCAAGAAAGAGUACGAAUUAAUAACAUGCCGCAUGUCAUAUUCUUAUUGG